CCUACGGGAGGCAGCAGUGGGGAAUAUUGCGCAAUGGGCGAAAGCCUGAACCAGCCAAGUAGCGUGAAGGAUGACUGCCCUAUGGGUUGUAAACUUCUUUUAUAUGGGAAUAAAGUGCAGUAUGUAUACUGCUUUGCAUGUACCUUAUGAAUAAGGAUCGGCUAACUCCGUGCCAGCAGCCGCGGUAAUACGGAGGAUCCGAGCGUUAUCCGGAUUUAUUGGGUUUAAAGGGAGCGUAGGCGGGUUGUUAAGUCAGUUGUGAAAGUUUGCGGCUCAACCGUAAAAUUGCAGUUGAUACUGGCAGCCUUGAGUACAGUAGAGGUAGGCGGAAUUCGUGGUGUAGCGGUGAAAUGCUUAGAGAUCACGAAGAACUCCGAUUGCGAAGGCAGCCUGCUGGACUGUAACUGACGCUGAUGCGCGAAAGUGUGGGUAUCAAACAGGAUUAGAUACCCUAGUAGUC
rnacentral:rRNA from 1 species